rnacentral:rRNA from 1 species
UACGUAGGGUGCGAGCGUUAAUCGGAAUUACUGGGCGUAAAGAGCGCGCAGGCGGUCGUUCAAGUCGAGUGUGAAAGCCCCCGGCUCAACUGGGGAGGGUCAUUCGAUACUGAUCGACUCGAAGGCAGGAGAGGGAAGUGGAAUUCCCGGUGUAGUGGUGAAAUGCGUAGAUAUCGGGAGGAACACCAGUGGCGAAGGCGGCUCACUGGCCCGAUACUGACGCUGAGGCACGAAAGCGUGGGGAGCAAACAGG